rnacentral:tRNA from 1 species
CAGAGCUUAGUCUAAUUGGCAAGACGUCAGACAUGUUGAUGAUACAGGUUCGACUCCUGUAGCUCUGU